CUGGGGCCCACCCAGAAUGGACACACUUGGGGGCAGACUGGAGCCCACCUUGCAUCUGGAGCUAAGCUGUCAGACCUGCAGCUUGAAGCAGGGCAGCCUGGCUGAGGCCCACCCAGAUCAGCCAACUUGCAAACACAGAAGAAACCAGUGCUUCUUGUGGUUGUCUUCUGCUCCUGAUCUGGUUGGCUGGAGACACUUAGAAGCUAUGGCCUUUCACCUACAGGGUCUCUCUUUGUUGCCUAGGCUGGAGUGCAGUGGAACGAACUUGGCUUAUUGAAGCAUUGACCACCUGGACCCAAGUGAUUCUCCUACCUUAGCCUCUUGAAUAGCUGUGACAACAGAUGAAGAAAAUGAGGCACUGAGAGAUUACAUAACUUCCCUUGAGUCAUAUUUGCUUGUAAGUGGUAAGGCUGGAUGUUGAACCCAGGACAAAGGGAGCCCAGUGGAGGAUCCCUGGAGGAGCAAAUAGAAGAAACCCAAAAGGGACUUGAAAGCGGGUCCCCUCCCUCACCUGGAUUCCCAGUCCGAAGAGGAGGAAGCAUCCGCCCUCCUUCCCUCCUUCUGACCCACCCAGCCACCCACCCAAGGUGCCAUUAAAGUUAAU
rnacentral:lncRNA from 1 species